UACGUAGGGUGCAAGCGUUAAUCGGAAUUACUGGGCGUAAAGCGUGCGCAGGCGGUUUUGUAAGUCUGACGUGAAAUCCCCGGGCUCAACCUGGGAAUUGCGUUGGAGACUGCAAGGCUAGAAUCUGGCAGAGGGGGGUAGAAUUCCACGUGUAGCAGUGAAAUGCGUAGAGAUGUGGAGGAACACCGAUGGCGAAGGCAGCCCCCUGGGUCAAGAUUGACGCUCAUGCA
rnacentral:rRNA from 1 species